UUGGUUUUUUUUUUGUCUCCUUUUUAAAAAUCUUUUUUUAUCCACUGAGAUGGGAAUCCACCCUUCUACUGCUGACUUGGCUGGUGCAGUAGGGCUGGCUGCACUAACCUCCCCAGGGAAUUCGCCAUCAGAGUGUGUGACUGAGCGGCAAGGUGGGCAUAAGGCAUGGUGGGCAUGUUGGCUCCACACAGAUGGAGACUGAGGAUUGAGUGAGCAAAUGGUAAGGAGGAAGGUACAUAUAAACUGAAAAGUCUUUUCAGUUUUACUCACUGUUUAAGAAGCACAUAGCAAGUGCUAUAAAAAUACAGACGAGUAAUAUGUAGUUGGUUGAUCCUCCCCUGGCCUCAGCAGAGGCAGAUGGAAUUGGACCCAUUUAUCUGCUAGUUUUGGGGCUGGUUCAGAGUGAGUGUGAGUACAAACUCUGCUGUUGCACAAGGGUCAUGAUCUAGGGAGGGCUUAUACACUUGGACGUGCUGUGCCCCCAGAUAUUUGUACCGGUCCCUAAAGUUUUCAUGCAAGACAUCUUAAAUUGCUGCUGCCCUGUCUGUCGAUUUUGUUCUUGUGGAAUGGCAGAGGAUUGGCAGUGAAUUGGAUCCUGCUUUCUGAAAUGCUUAGUUCAGGGCUUUAGUGAUGCAAUGAUGUGGAGUAGCUUCAAGCAGCACACGCUGGAGCUUGGUUAUUUAGGGGUCCAUGUUACAGAUGUAUCUAAACCCCUUUCUCCCCCAAAGAGAUGUCAAGGUGACGUUAAUUCCACUACCAAUAUAUGUUUGUUGUAAUGUGUGAAGCAAUAGCAGGAGGGUGAGCCUACAGCACGUGCCUGUACAUCACUUUAAUUUGUAAUCAACCUAGAAUGAUUUCUAGUUCAUAGCUAUGUCGUAGUUAUUUGCACAUGCUGUGCUACAGUGGAUUCUACUUGCUUAAAAUCCUUGUCAGGGAAGAAAUUUUUCUGGCUUUUAUUUGCAAUGAAAGCUGUUCCCUAGAGUCAUGUCAGCUGCAGAAAUCCAGACCCCAGCACAAGUGUCUGCAUUAAAAACUGAGCUUUGGGCUCCAUUAAAAUACCGUGACUGCACAUGUCACAAACAGAGACAGGCAGUGCAGUAGCACAGGCACUUGAAAGAUCCUGCUUUGAAACCGAGGGGCUUUUGAAACUGUGGGGCUUUUGAAACUGAGGUUGCAACCCUGGAGAAAAGAAACAGCUAUCUCCUCUCUUUGCUUCUUCCAGCCUCUGUCAGCUUCUGGCUUUAAAUUUUCUCUGAAAUUAUGCACUUGUCUCUUGGUAAUCUUCCCCCAUAUUUUAACUGGGGAUGGCAGGUAAGGCAUAAGGUCAAAGAACUGGAAAUGACCUUGCAAAACUGAGACAAUGGAGCCAGAAAGAUGGCCCUUCUGUUAAAACUGGUGAUAGUAACUGCCAGAUUUUUGGGAAUGUUUGCAAAAUCGUGAUUAGAUCAAGCAAAAUUACAUAAAACUUUUGACCUUUGAAUAUAAACAGGGCUGGAGGACUCUGAGAAGAGAAUGGCAAGGCUCCAGUAAAGAGAGACAGUUUAGUCCACACUGUGUAGGCAGCAAGGCAUGCUGAUGGGUUAAUGCAUCUUCUUCACAUUUAAGAGAAAAGCACAUAUCCUCUUCCUUUUUGUAGAAAAUGUUUUGUGUGUGUAUGCAUGUCACUCCCAUGCAUAGGGGGGGUGCAUGCCCUUCAUUGCCUCUAAGACAAGGGUUGGCCUGCUUGUUCUGGCUAGUUUUUAUAGAUGGCACAUUGCCACAAUGUAGGAGUGACUUUUAUUUCUGUAGCAUGCCCUGUGGUCACCACUUGUUCAAUAUUAAGUCUGUUUUCCCUCAGUUCCUUUUGGAGGAGGGUUGGAGCAGUGUUUUGGUUGGUUUUGCUGCUCUGUUGUUGCGUGGCUGCAGGUGUUUCUGUUAUUUAUGGAUGCUCCAACCAAGGGAACUUUUGACGUGGAAGGGUUUAGGGUUUAUGGUGAGGUCACAGUUCCUGGUGGAAUUAAUUCAUCAGAUCCCCUGCCCUAGCAGGGAAAUGUGUGCUCUGCUUUUAACCAUCCUGUGCUGAUGGGAUCAUUGGAGAUGGCAGACAGGAGCCUGUGGCUGCAGACAGACCUUAUGUUGUAGGGACACCCAGGAGGCCCUGAAGGAAGUGAAGUGAGGCUCACACAGACAACUCUGGUAUCUAGACCAACUGUGGGAGCAGAGAUAUGUCCUGUAAGGAAAUGUCCUUUUGGGUGUAAAUAGUACAUGAUGAGGGCCAGCAGACACAAUCCAAAAAGCAGCCUGGACUUGUACUUUCUGAAAGUCUGCAUCCCUGUCUCAGCUCAGGACGCCUCAUUUCCAAAAGCAUUAAGAAUUUCCGUACAGCUUUAGACUGUCUCCAGAUUCCUACCCACUCAAUCUCUAAUUAAAUGUAAGAAUUUCCACUUUAUGAUUAAUCCUUCUUUUCAGGGCAAGUUGCAAAAUAGUUGAAAAAGUAAGACUUAUCUGUCUGCUGCUUUCCUUCUGCCUUUUUAGUUUGCAAAUGAAUGUAGGGUCAUCUUAUAUCAUUCGUCUUCUUAGAACUUUUGCCAGUUUUAAUUCUGUAAAAUGCAAUAGUCAUUCCUCAUACUUAUCUGUAAAUUGCAUUGAAUCUUGUUGCAGUCAUAUUAGGUGGUAAUGAUUUAUAUGCCUUCUAAUAAUUUAUUUGAUUAUGCCAGCUAUGUUCCAUUUCUAAAGAAUUAUCAAGUUAAUGCUCUUGCAUAGGGAACAAAGAAAUAUUUUCCAUACUUCUUACUUUGCCUUUCUGCACAUUGGUACAGUGCUGCAUUUUUUGUUUAUUAAUACUGUGGUGUGUAAGGAUGAGGCUGACAAUUUAUUGGAGGUAUUUAAUGUUGUUAGACCCCAGGUUGCACAGAAGUUGCAUAUCCAGAGGUGGUUUCAGUGUGGUGAUUGUCACUGCUUGGGUGUUUCUGCCUUGUGCACAUCCCCAGAUUCUGCAAGUCUCUGAUGGGAGUAUCUGUGCUGGCACAGAUGGGGUUGAUGGCUCUGAGCUCAGUGGGAAUGAGAAGGACAAAUAACACUGUCAAAAAUUUCAGUGGCAAAAUAUGUUGGGUUUUCCUUUCCUUUUCCUUAUGCCCCAACAGUUCUGUGCCAAGCAUAAGGAGCUCUCUCACCCCCCAUUCAACAAAGGGCUGGGUGCAGGGAAAUAGCUAUGCACAGGUUUAAAUUUAGGAUUGGAAUUACUCCCAUAGAUUUCUGAGGCAAUUGUUUUCUCAAAAAGAAAUAACUAGGAAAUGGGGCUGCUGGGGAAGGACAGGUAGAGAAAAGCAUAGUAGGAAUAAAGAAAAGUGAUUUUUCUAUCUGGAAUGUUUCAUACACUGGAAACUUUCAAUAUUUCCUUUCUUGAUGGACUGUCUACCCUGUCUGUUUUCUCUCCCUUUUGGAACUUUGUGCUUAAGUCCUGGAUAAUAUGCCUCCCACACCAGCUGACAAAACACAAAGAAGUAGAAAGAAGCUUCAGCUCUAGGGUAAAACUCUUCUUUUCAUGAAAAGAAUUACGUAGUUUUUCUUUCCUUUUCCUUGACUUUCAUAUUUAGAGAAGCACAGGAUGGAACAAAGUAUUGCACAAGUGCAAACAAUGUCCAACUUUUUUUUCCUCACUAAAAUUUCUCUUUGAAAAACACUAAGUUUCUUUCUGAACAUGUUGCCAUAAAAUAUCGAUUUUUGGCAGUGUUUGAAUGCUGCUUUUUUUUGUCAUUUGAAAGUACUGUGCUGCUGAGACAUUGCACUUUUGAACAGGAUGAAAUAUGUUUAUUUCUUAGGAAAAAUGCUUGUGAUUACUCCAGAAGCCAAAUUGUUGCAUUUUCCAGAGUUCAGAAUACAGCCUGGUACUGUGUGCACAUGAGAGAAGUACUACAACUCAAAGGGACAGGUGGAAAACCAGGAAGAUAUUUUACCCAGUGCACAAGCACCUGGAAUCAUGCAGAAAAUCAAACAAGAAAUUACUUCCUAGCAAAAAAUUAAAGCAUCCAAGCAAUGAAAUUAAUAAUCAGAGAGAUAUAUUACACCCUCUCCCUUUAAACUAGGUUUUUCUUCUAUUAAAGCACUUGAAUUUUUGGACAAUUUGAGUCCUGACCCUGUAAACUGCCUUGUUCCCAGUUCUGCUCUUGAGUAGUUCAGCCCCCUCUGAUGCAUUGAAACUGAGGAGCCAGAUCCACAGCCUAGAUCACUGCAUCUGCCCAUGGUUACAAAAAUACACUCCAUGUCUCUUAAAUGUUUUGGUUCUCUUUUCUUUACCAUUACUUGUUAUUGCUUUGUAUUGCUAUUAUUGCAUUAAUUCUACCACUGAGUGUCACUGGGAUUGGGCUUCCUUAACAUCUCUGUUCAUGUGCUUUUCAACAUUAUUUGCUUUUUAACAUUAGUGAAGACAGCUGUGUGCACACAGAACAUCUGGGGGCCUACUGAACUGUAAAGCCUCCUGACAUUGAUGUUUAAUUUGCAUUGACACAUUUUCACUUUUACUUUAUACCUGCUUGCAGCCUUGCAUGUCUUUUGGCUCUUUGCUCUUUUACAGAUGUCAAGUAGCAGGGAGCUGAAACAGAGGAAUACCCUUGGUUUUCUGCAAAGCUGUGGUGUAUGAAUAAGGAUUUUUUUCCCAAAAUUGUUCCUCAGGUUGCUGAGGACUGUUUGUGUUUAAACAGCCACUUGUUGUUUGCUGAUACUCUCUUUUUAAGUGUUAUUGUUUCAUAAUGGUCAUUUGCACUUGGAAAACCUUCUUGUCAGGAGAGUGGUUGAUGGUUUGCUAAGAGGCUGAUUUCAACCAGAUCUUUUCACAGACAUGGUUAUUAGGGAAUGCAGCAAUCUUCUGACAGAUUUUCUACUCUAUUAAGCAGCCACAUAAUCCCUGUGAAUAAAAGUGCCUACUUUUACAAGAGUUGGCUUUGAUGUCUUGAGGCCAUUUGGGUGUUUACAAUCAGCUGAAAAGCAGCUGGUUCUGCAGGUGGCAGUUCUCUGGCUAUCCCCAGAUGCUUUUUGGUGCAGAUCUGCAAACACCAUGUGUGGUACUUUUGUCUCCUUGUGCAGAGGGGCAGGUUUGUUAAAAAGGCACAGUAACCCAACCAUUCUAUGAUUCUGUGCAUCCCAUGGCCUUUUCUGGACCUGUCAGAUUUGUGCAAGCAAGGACUUGGUCCCCUGGGAGCACGGCUGGUCCCAUGGCUCCGUGGCUGCCCAGCAGGGCUCUGCUUUGGGCCCUUCCAGUGGGUGAUUCCCUUUUGCCCACAACUUCCUCCCGAACCAUUGUGUUUUCCUGUUGACUAAAUCCUUAUUUCCUUGGCUCUGUAGUGACCCUUUAAUGAAGUUAGGGCUAUUUAUCCCAGAGAUGUGUAAUAUUUGUUCUCCAUACAUGUUGGCCUUUUGCUUAUUCUUGAAGGCGUGAUGUAGCUGAAUUACUUCACUGUUUGUUUCUGUUCUGUUGUUGAUUAAUCUGUUUUUCCACUAGGGCUCUGUUAUGAGAGAAGAUUAAAAUUACAGAGAAGAUAGUUGUUUGUUUCAAAUAUUUUGUUUCCUUUCUCUGUUGGGAAUACUAGUAUAAACACCAAGCAAUCUGAAUUUAAAUAGCUAAAGUAUUAGUCUUGCUGUUCCAGUUGCUUGUCAUUACACUUGAGGAUAAGGUUACAGCUGAUUAUACAAAAUAUGGGAGCCAUAGGUUUUACAUUCUCAAUCAGCAUAUUAUAAAUGAACUAUGCAAAUCUGAGAUAGCUUUUUUUUGAUAAUUGAAAGAGAUUUUCCUUGGAGUAUGCAAGACUCUUGAGAGAAGCUGAAUUGCUUGUUUGUAAUUCUGUUAUAAGCUUUACUGGUAUUUAUUUAACAUGCAGUUUAUUGCUACUGAAUAUUUUUUUUAUGGCUUGCUGUCAAAAUUGUCAGAAUACUCAGAAGGUUGCUCCCAGUUUCGAUACCUUUUGCACAGUGGUUUGUUUGUUAGACCAAUCUGAAGCAUUCUCCAUGAGCCUGACUCAUGUGCAAGGCAGCAGUGCACUUAAGUGAAGAAAA